GAGAGAGGAAGAGCAGCUGCCGGUCUUCUUUUUUUAAGAAGGCUGAGGAAAGUCCCUCCACCAUAAAUAAGGAUAAAACACGAACGCCGCGAGGGCGUAAGGCGAGAGUCUUGGCUCUGGUAUAGAAACGAUACCGUGCCAUACUAAGUAACAGAAACGUGAUGAUUCCGUGAGGAUGAAUUCGUAUGGUUGCGGAUGGAACGACCAACCUCGUGGGUGCAAGCCUGAGGAAGGCGCGAAGAUAAAUGCUGCUGAAACAGAAGGGGGCUUACUCUCCUCACUC
rnacentral:RNase_P_RNA from 1 species